GCCUGUUCCCACUUAAGAUGAGCACCCAGGUAGGGGCCGCAAACCCUGAUCAGGUCCACCCUAGCAAUGUCUGAAUAUAACCCAAGUCUCUGUAAGGAGCAGUGGGAUGGAAACCUGUGGUUUCUUAGGCAGUUCCCUUAGGCAUCAUGCACACUGACAAUCACAAAUCACGCAUGGCAGUUCUAGUGUGUUCUUCCCAGUAGGACAGAGGUGGAGUCCUCAGGCGGAAGUGGUGGAUAGGCUGGAUCAGUGGAUCUGGCCAUGAUGUCAGGCACCUAAGGUCGUGCCUGGGGCUCCACAGAGCUGCCUUCUCCACUUCUGCAUCCCUUGCAAGCCUGCAUUCACCUGUUUGCUUCUUGGAAGGAUGCGUUGCCCAUCUCCUGACUGUGGUUCCUUGUGUCCCACGACCAACCAUCACCUUCACUUCAGAUAAGAAGCUCUGGAGACAUGGCCUUUCCGGUUAAAGACACAGAGCCCAGGCACUGCCCACGGCUUCCUCCACACUCAUGCUGCUUUCCCUUAGAAGCCAUCAAACUCCAAAUGGUCAGGCAACUGGAGCCUCAGAUGAUAGCUCCCCUUUGCUAGGAACCCUUAAAUAGACCUCUGGGAGGACUCUGACUGCCAUUUUCUCCAAAACAACACCCCUUGUCAGCAGGAAGCAGCAAGACUGGUCAUCAACCAUAUUCUAACGGCAGUAUUCCUAUGAUUUAGCCAGUGGGCCGUGACCGGCAAGGAAUGUGCCUUGUUAGUUUCAAGAUGGAGUUGAUUUUUAAAAUCAUGUCACCCUGGCUCUUCUAUGCUCCUGUUCCCCUAACAGUAAUAGCCCAGCCAUUCUCUGCCAUGUUUUCCUCUGCCCCCAGCUUCCGAAUGAAGUCAAUUUUUAUUUCUUCAACGUACCUCUUCAGAGGGGAAAUUAUACAGGAGGGGGGCAGGGAAGUGCUGGGUAGAGAAAGGUGGAUCCCCAGCUAGGGUUCCACCCCCACAGACCUAGGUGAGGAAAGGCACUUCUGGCUUCACACCCAAAUGUUGCAUUUUCGAAGACCAACCUGGCCUGCCAUGCCCCCAUUCUGGGCCUAUAAAAACCCACCACCCUAGCGGACAGACACACAGGUGGCCAGACGUCAAGAACAGCACAUCAGCAGUUGAAGACACAAAAGGGUGGACGACAAGAAGGCAUCACAAGAGAACGUCAAGGGAGCACGCCGAUGGAAGAACCUGCUGGCAGGCUAUCCACUGUUGGCAUGAGGGGGAGUUUGGCUGGGGCAGUCAGAGAAGAGCCCGGCUGCAUAGCGGCCCAAUUCCAGGGGAAAACCAUCUCUCUUUUGGCUCCCCCGGCAGAGAGCUACUUCUGCUCAAUAAAACUUGGCUUUUAUUCACCAAGC
rnacentral:lncRNA from 10 species